rnacentral:rRNA from 1 species
CGAAAGCCUGACGGAGCAAGACCGCGUGAGGGAGGAAGGCUCUUGGGUUGUAAACCUCUUUUCUCAGGGAAGAAGCUCUGACGGUACCUGAGGAAUCAGCCUCGGCUAACUCCGUGCCAGCAGCCGCGGUAAUACGGAGGAGGCAAGCGUUAUCCGGAAUUAUUGGGCGUAAAGCGUUCGUAGGCGGUUUUAUAAGUCUGCUGUCAAAGUGCGGAGCUCAACUCCGUAAGAGCAGUGGAAACUGAAUAGCUAGAGUGCCGUAGGGGUAGAGGGAAUUCCCGGUGUAGCGGUGAAAUGCGUAGAGAUCGGGAAGAACAUCGGUGGCGAAAGCGCUCUACUGGACGGCAACUGACACUCAGGGACGAAAGCUAGGGGAGCG